GUGCUUACUCUGGCAGCACAUAUACUAAAUUGAAAUGAUACAGAGAAGAUUAGCAUGGCCCCUGCACAAGGAUGACACAGAGAUUUGUAUAUUUAAGCCUCAUUAA